GGUUGAUCCUGCCAGUAGUCAUAUGCUUGUCUCAAAGAUUAAGCCAUGCAUGUCUAAGUAUAAACAAAUUCAUACUGUGAAACUGCGAAUGGCUCAUUAAAUCAGUUAUAGUUUAUUUGAUGGUAUCUUGCUACAUGGAUAACUGUGGUAAUUCUAGAGCUAAUACAUGCUGAAAAGCCCCGACUUCCGGAAGGGGUGUAUUUAUUAGAUAAAAAACCAAUGGGUUCACGCCCUCUAUGGUGAUUCAUAAUAACUUCUCGAAUUGCAUGGCCUUGUGCCGGCGAUGCUUCAUU
rnacentral:rRNA from 1 species